rnacentral:rRNA from 1 species
GACGAACGCUGGCGGCGUGCUUAACACAUGCAAGUCGAACGGAAAGGCCCUGCUUUUGUGGGGUGCUCGAGUGGCGAACGGGUGAGUAACACGUGAGUAACCUGCCCUUGACUUUGGGAUAACUUCAGGAAACUGGGGCUAAUACCGGAUAGGAGCUCCUGCUGCAUGGUGGGGGUUGGAAAGUUUCGGCGGUUGGGGAUGGACUCGCGGCUUAUCAGCUUGUUGGUGGGGUAGUGGCUUACCAAGGCUUUGACGGGUAGCCGGCCUGAGAGGGUGACCGGCCACAUUGGGACUGAGGUACGGCCCAGCCUCCUACGGGCGGCAGUAGUGGGGAAUAUUGCACAAUGGGCGGAAGCCUGAUGCAGCCACGCCGCGUGCGGGAUGACGGCCUUCGGGUUGUAAACCGCUUUCGCCUGUGACGAAGCGUGAGUGACGGUAAUGGGUAAAGAAGCACCGGCUAACUACGUG